UACGGGGGGGGCAAGCGUUGUUCGGAAUUACUGGGCGUAAAGGGCUCGUAGGCGGCCAACUAAGUCGGACGUGAAAUCCCUCGGCUUAACCGGGGAACUGCGUCCGAUACUGGAUGGCUUGAGUGUGGGAGAGGGAUGCGGAAUUCCAGGUGUAGCGGUGAAAUGCGUAGAUAUCUGGAGGAACACCGGUGGCGAAGGCGGCAUCCUGGACUACUACUGACGCUGAGGGAGCGAAAGCCAGGGGAGCAAGCGGG
rnacentral:rRNA from 1 species